AUGGUUGUCGUCAGCUCGUGUCGUGAGAUGUUGGGUUAAGUCCCGCAACGAGCGCAACCCUACGUUUAGUUGCUAACGCGUGAAGGCGAGCACUCUAGACGGACUGCCGUUGACAAAACGGAGGAAGGUGGGGAUGACGUCAAAUCAUCAUGCCCCUUAUGUUCUGGGCUACACACGUGCUACAAUGGCCGGUACAGACGGACGCAAAGCCGCGAGGUGGAGCAAAUCCUAAAAAGCCGGUCUCAGUUCGGAUUGCAGGCUGCAAUUCGCCUGCAUGAAGUCGGAAUCGCUAGUAAUCGCAGGUCAGCAUACUGCGGUGAAUACGUUCCCGGGCCUU
rnacentral:rRNA from 1 species